GCAAACUUGGUCAUUUAGAGGAAGUAAAAGUCGUAACAAGGUUUCCGUAGGUGAACCUGCGGAAGGAUCAUUAGAAAAUAGCCAGCCUGGCUGGCAUAUAAUUCUAUCCCACCUUGUGUGCAAGCAAUGGAAAAAUGGAGAGAAUAUUGGAUACCUUUUUGUAUCCAACCUCUCUAAAGUUUUUACAAACUCCAUCAAAUUUUGAAAUGAAAACUAUUUUUUUAAUAAAAAAAAUAUUAUACAACUUUCAACAACGGAUCUCUUGGCUCUCGCAUCGAUGAAGAACGCAGC
rnacentral:misc_RNA from 1 species